rnacentral:tRNA from 1 species
ACGUCCAUCGUCUAGUGGAUAGGACAGAGGUCUUCUAAACCUUUAGUAUAGGUUCAAAUCCUAUUGGACGUA